rnacentral:misc_RNA from 1 species
GAUGAAGAACGUAGCGAAACGCGAUAAGUAAUGUGAAUUGCAGAAUUUAGUGAAUCAUCGAACUUUUGAACGCACAUUGCGCCCCUUGGUAUUCCGAGGGGCAUGCCUGUUCGAGCGUCAUUUCAACCCUCAAGCACAGCUUGGUCUUGGGCUUCGCCGCUAACCCGGCGGGUCUUAAAAUCAGUGGCGGUGCCGUCGGGCCCUGAGCGCAGUAAUCUCUCUCGCUAUAGGGUCCCGGCGGAUGCUGGCCAGUAACCCCCAAUUUUCUAUGGUUGACCUCGGAUCAGGUAGGGAUACCCGCUGAACUUAAGCAUAUCAAUAAGCGGAGGA